CACUGCACUAGGAGGCAUCUGCCCAGAGAUGGGUUUGUUGUGGAUGUCUUUGUUGUAGAGGCCCAGCAACUUUGGGUCAUGAAGUGAGCUCAUCAGAAGCAGAAGCUUAGCAUUGAGGAGCCCUUGAAUUUGAAGCUUAUGGAGCAAUUAAAGCACCUCCUGGGGGAUUCCAGUCCUCAAGACUGUCGUGCGUAGAGAUGAGCAGUUGUGAAUUUGUCUCCUUCUUGCUGGAAAAAUGGAAUACUCCACAGUUCAUCAAGGACUUACACUGUAUUUCAAUGAGCUGUGUGUACAUUGCAUAGUAUAUAAUUAAUCUGGAAAAUGACUCAUCUAAAAAACUCAAGGAACCGGCCCAUUUUCUAUUAAUUCCUUUUAAUUAGCUGUCAUCAGAAGCACUGAAUGACUGCCUGAUGUGAUUCCUAUUCAUCUGCAGGGAAAGAUCAGUAAUGCUGAACAGACCAUGUCUUGCUGAUAUUCAACAUGCUGACACAUCCAUUCUGUCAUCCUGUGAUGGUGCUUGAGAAGACAUUGGGAAGUAUAUGGAAGGCGGCAUUAUUCCCAUCAGAUCCUGGAGCUUGGAGAGAUGAAGUGACUCACCCAAGGUCAGAGGGAGAUUUUGAUUCUCUGCAAAGCCAAUACAGCUGCAUUCAAAUCCCAGCUUUGACGGUUACUAGCUAUGUGACCACAGUGGCCUCUGUCAGUGCCAGCCCUAUCCCCUCAUCCUCACCAUGCGGCCCAACUACUGACUGCAUUUAUGUGGCUGCCAGAACCUGCUUUCCUGUCUCCCUGCCUCCUGCCCCUGCCCGGCAGCAGUCCAGAAGCGAAAGAGAAUUAAUGCCCUUUGGGAGCAGCCUCAGCCAAGACUGCAGUUGGUGAAAAAUACCCUGUCUCCCUCACCCGGCCGGUGGAAAAAUUCUGAGACACAAGUUCUACUCUGGCUCCCAGAGUUUCCCAGCAGGAUUAUGUUGUGUUAUCCAUAGUGGCAAUUUUCUUGAUAAUGAAUAUUUCCAUUGGCUGCCUCUCUUCCUCGUCCCCCUUUCUCAUUUCCCAACCAGCAUUUCUUGAGAUUGCCUCUUCAAUAGACCUCUUGCACUUGAGUCCUUAUCUCAGGCUCUGCUUCUGGGGAACCCAAACAAAGACACUGACUUUGACAAGUUACUUAACUCCUAUCUGAUCCCCAGUUUCCUAAUCCAUUAAAAAGGGGAAUAUGUAGAGUAUUUACCUGAUAAAUUUGUAGGGACAUAAAGGGUUUUACACACUUCUGUUCAUACCAGCAUAAUUUAUAAUAACGAAAAAUGAGAUAGGACCUAAAUGUACAAUAAGAGGGGAAUAGGUGAAUAGUUUUAUUUGCAUAAUAGAAUAUUACACAAUGAGUAAAAAAAUAUUAUUCAAAGUACAUUCAAUGACAUGGAGAAAUGCAAUUGAAAAUUAUACAUUACACAAUCCUACUGGGGAGCAAUGUUGGAAAACAUUUAAAAGAUAAAUUUCACUUAAAAUCUACAAAUAAAAAUUAUAAAAAGUUAAUAUUAAAUGU